UUUGGAUGUGGGCUCAGACAUUAGGAGCAGGCAGUAUCUUUUCUUUUUCUUUUUCUUUCUUUCUUUUUUUUUUUUUUUGACAGGAUGGGCUGGGGUUGGGGGAGGAGGAAGCAAGAAUUAAGCAGAGAAGGCAAGCUCCUUUCUGUUCAUCUAACUCAAACUGACGAGUCAUUGAGCUGACUCCAAUCAGCAGGAUCCCCUGGUCGCCUGACUCAGGCCUCCCCAGUCAGAGGUAGAGUCUGCGGUGGACAGACAGACAGGUCUGGAGAGGCUGCAACCCUGGUUACCAUCUGGUCGGCUGGACCAUGAAUGUUUCAAGGGCAAGGCCAUGUCUGAUUCAAUUCCACAUCCACAGCACGUAAAGCAACGUCUGGCAGAGCAAAGAACUCACCCAUCAAUUGAAUGACAUCAUGGCCAAUCUACGAGUUCUGGCUUACUUCUCAUGCUAUUAUCACAUCUGCCAAGGAUUCUUCCUGGCUAAAGAAACCCAUAAAAGUGGAAAACUCAAACUCCACAGUGCAAAUAUCUCUUGAGUCUGCCUGCACUACCCUUUCUUGAAUGUGUAUUGAUAAGACUGCAGUUGACAUUUUAAGAAAUUUAAAUUUCAACCUGAAGUCAAUAAGGACACCUCAGAAGUUUUCAAAGGAAGGAUGGAGUCUGUUGAAAAGAACCGGUUGGUAAAAUGAGAAAAAAUGGAUUGAAGGAGACCCAAGUGACCACCUGGUAAUUACUUCAACAGCAGAGCGACUCAUACAGCCGGCAGUCCACUUUGUUCUUCUAUAGAUCCUGCCUGUGGUGUUGGAUCUAACAGCUUCUUCCCUGACCCAAGAUUAUGAAGGAUUUCUCCUGUGUUCUCUUCUAAAAAUUUUACAUUUAGGUACAUAAUCCAUUUUGAGCUAAUUCUUUUAAAUAGUGCAAAGUAUGGAUUGAAGUUCUUUUUUUUUUUUUUUUUUGCAGAUACAUAUUUAAUUUUUCCAGCACCAUUUGUUGAAAAGACUAAUGUUCUUGCCUGAAUAGCCUUUGCAUUGUUGUUGAAAAUCAUGUUCACACAUGUACACAUUCCACUGAUCUAUUUGCCUCUUUGUGAAAAUACUACUAUUUUGAUUAAUAUAUAUUUAUAGGGAGUCUUAAAAUCAUAUCUUAAAAAGAUAGUGGAAGUUAUUUAACCUUACUCUUGCUUUUAGAAAUUGUUUUGGAUAUUCUAGAUCUUUUGUGUUUCCAUAUAAAUUUUAUAAUCAGUUUGGCAAUUUAUUUAAAAUAUUCUUCUGGGAUUUUGAUGGACAUUACACUGAAUCGAUGGAUCGCUUUGGGGACAACUGACAUCUUAACAAUAUUGAGUCAUCUAACAUAUGAUCAUGGAAAUUGCUCCAUUUAUUUAGAUCUUCUUUCACAUCUUGAAGCAGUGUUUUGCGUUUUCAGUGUAUAGGUAUUUAAUAGAUUUAAAAAUAUGAUCCCUAAAUAUUCAAUGUUUUUGAUGCUAUUGGAAUUUUAAAAAAUUAAUUUCUGUUCUGAGGAAGGAAAAUAAUAAAAGAUUAAACAAGAAAAAUAAAAAUAAUCAAAAUAAAAGAUAAAUCAUUGACAAAUAUAAUAAAAAAUAAAAUAAUAACAAAAAAUAUAAAAAAUUAAUUUCUUAUUUUUU
rnacentral:lncRNA from 1 species